rnacentral:rRNA from 1 species
CUACGGAGGGUGCAAGCGUUGUUCGGAAUCACUGGGCAUAAAGAGCACGUAGGCGGUCUGUUAAGUUAGAUGUGAAAUCCCUCGGCUCAACCGGGGAACUGCAUUUGAUACUGACAGGCUAGAGGGCGGUAGGGGUGAGUGGAACUCCAGGUGGAGCGGUGAAAUGCGUAGAUAUCUGGAGGAACACCUGUGGCGAAAGCGACUCACUGGACCGUCACUGACGCUGAGGUGCGAAAGCUAGGGUAGCGAACGGGAUUAGAAACCCUAGUAGUCC